rnacentral:lncRNA from 1 species
AUGAUUCAAUGUGCUCCAUUAAUUUGGUAGGUGAAAAGACAACCAAAAUCACUAUAAAUAUCAGUAAAUUGCUUCCUAGAACAUCAUAUUCUUUUCUUUUCUAUCAUCUACUGUUCUCUUUUCUUCUUCCUAGAUAAUGAUAUAGAUACAUGUCGUCAAAAAACUAUCUAAAGAGAAAAACAGAUAGCUUCAUUUUGAAAUUAAAUAGAGAAGUUUUCUUACAAUAUAGUUCAAGCGUUAAACUUAGAAGUAUAAGAUUCAAGCGUUAAUCUUAGAAGUAUAAGAUAUGACUUAUAUAUUCCUUUAGAUCUUUUUUAUGUUAGCUUAUGAUUUUGAGUUUUUCUUUUCCAUUUUGGAAUUAAGGUAUGCUUGUCCAAAAUAAAUUUGGUAUGCAACCCACAUUUUUAUGUAGUUCUAUAUCAUUUUGCAUUGUUAUGAAAAAAAAAUUCUUUGUUUUUG